GCAAGUCGCACGGGGAACUCAUGAAGCUUGCUUUGAGAGUUCCUAGUGGCGCACGGGUGAGUAACACGGGAGUUACAUGCCCUGCAGGGGUGAAUAGCCCGCCGAAAGGCGGAUUAAUACCCCAUGUUCCCGCAAGGGUAAAGGUGGCUUCGGCUGCCGCUGCAGGAUUGGCUCGCGUCCUAUCAGUUUGUUGGUGAGGUAACGGCUUACCAAGACUACGACGGGUAGCUGGUCUGAGAGGAUGAUC
rnacentral:rRNA from 1 species